AGAGUUUGAUCAGUGCUCAGAGCGAACGCUGGCGGCAGGCUUAACACAUGCAAGUCGAACGGGCGUAGCAAUACGUCAGUGGCAGACGGGUGAGUAACACGUGGGAACGUACCCUUUGGUUCGGAACAACACAGGGAAACUUGUGCUAAUACCGGAUAAGCCCUUACGGGGGAAAAGAUUUUAUCGCCGAAGGAUCGGCCCGCGUCUGAUUAGCUUGUUGGUGAGGUAAUGGCUCACCAAGGCGACGAUCAGUAGCUGGUCUGAGAGGAUGAUCAGCCACACUGGGACUGAGACACGGCCCAGACUCCUACGGGAGGCAGCAGUGGGGAAUAUUGGACAAUGGGCGCAAGCCUGAUCCAGCCAUGCCGCGUGAGUGAUGAAGGCCCUAGGGUUGUAAAGCUCUUUUGGCGGGGAAGAUAAUGACGGUACCCGCAGAAUAAGCCCCGGCUAACUUCGUG
rnacentral:rRNA from 1 species